GCGUGGGCUUCUUGGUGGCCUCGGAGCUACAGGGACCAUGCUGAGUGCUGCGGAGAGGGAGUGACAGAAGCCAGCUGCUGGGUGGAUAAUGCCUCAGGUUCAAGGGCAGGGAGGUAGAAUGAGGUCCAGCUAGCAAGGCAGAAGAGAGGAAGCCACAGAAGAAGACUGCUUGGAGAAGCAGAAGGGAUAUAAUACAUCCAGCUGGAGCGUUCCUUGGACGUCAUGCCUGUCCAAGAUUGAAAGGAGGAUGGGGAUGUAAUUCCUGAGAUACAUUUGGAGCAGCUCUUAUUGUCCUGGCUGACAGAGGGACCAGAAAAAAAGGUGAUCAACAUACGAUGUCAAAACUAUGGCUGAGACGUGCAAUUAAGGAUAUCGCUCUGUGACAGUGCAGCAAACUGCUGGAGUAUGAAGGCGGCUCAGAAGUUCAUAUCUGCAUUGAGUGAAGUUUGACAGAAGAUGUUGCAGCGGUUUUGUGUCUGGAGAUGGUUAGCUCUAGGAACUGCAGUUGCUACCAUCUUAGCAGGCGGUUCGGCCCAGAAUGAUGAAG